rnacentral:rRNA from 1 species
UACGAAGGGGGCUAGCGUUGUUCGGAAUCACUGGGCGUAAAGCGCACGUAGGCGGAUUGUUAAGUCGGGGGUGAAAUCCUGAGGCUCAACCUCAGAACUGCCUUCGAUACUGGCAAUCUCGAGUCCGGAAGAGGUUGGUGGAACAGCUAGUGUAGAGGUGAAAUUCGUAGAUAUUAGCUAGAACACCAGUGGCGAAGGCGGCUCACUGGCCCGGUACUGACGCUGAGGUGCGAAAGCGUGGGGAGCAAACAGG